rnacentral:ncRNA from 1 species
UUGAUCAGUAUUAGAGAGAAUAAAAGAUAGCUUUUAUCGCCGAAGGUGCAAGUAGCAAUACUACGAAACUCUCAGGCAAAAGGAUAAUACUGUUACG